rnacentral:rRNA from 1 species
GACGAACGCUGGCGGCGUGCUUAACACAUGCAAGUCGAACGGAAAGGCCUGCUUUCCCUUGUGGAUUGCGGGUACUCGAGUGGCGAACGGGUGAGUAACACGUGAGUGAUCUGCCCCCAACUUGGGUAUAAGCCUGGGAAACUGGGUCUAAUUCCCGAUAGGACUGCAGGGUGGUGCCUGUGGUGGAAAACGAUUUUCUAGUGGUUGGGGAUGAGCUCGCGGCCUAUCAGCUUGUUGGUGGGGUAAUGGCCUACCAAGGCGGCGACGGGUAGCCGGCCUGAGAGGGUGGACGGCCACAUUGGGACUGAGAUACGGCCCCGACUCCUACGGGAGGCAGCAGUGGGGAAUAUUGCACAAUGGGCGGAAGCCUGAUGCAGCGACGCCGCGUGGGGGAUGACGGCCUUCGGGUUGUAAACUCCUUUCGACCGCGAGGAAGCCACCUGGUUGGAAGGGUGGUGACGGUAGUGGUAGAAGAAGCACCGGCUAACUACGUG